rnacentral:rRNA from 1 species
UACGUAGGGUGCGAGCGUUGUCCGGAAUUAUUGGGCGUAAAGGGCUCGUAGGCGGUUUGUCGCGUCGGGAGUGAAAACCAGGUGCUUAACACCUGGCUUGCUUUCGAUACGGGCAGACUAGAGGUAUGCAGGGGAGAACGGAAUUCCUGGUGUAGCGGUGAAAUGCGCAGAUAUCAGGAGGAACACCGGUGGCGAAGGCGGGUCUCUGGGCCGAUACUGACGCUGAGGAGCGAAAGCGUGGGGAGCGAAUGGG